CAUUGACCUAAGGUUGGGCAGAGCAAAACUCACAGUAAAAUUGUCACCAAGUGCGUACUCCUGUGUGUGUGCCUGGAGAAAUCCCCUCAUGAUGAUGAUGAGGGACUGAGAGUAUUCCAGACCUCUCCAAAGGGACUGGUACUGUUAGGAGGUGUGGCCUUGUUGGAGUAGGUGGGGCUUUGUUGGAGCAAGUGUGUCACUGUGGGGCUGGACUUUGAGUUCCCUGUUACUCUCAGUAUCAAGGACCACUUCCUGUUGCCUGCAAGGUGUAGAGUUCUCACCUACUUCUGCAGCACCAUGUCUGCCUGCACGCCUCCAUGUCCCAAAAUAAUAACAAUGGACUGACUGAAUCUCCAAACUCCCUCUCCCAUGGUCCCCAUGCUCCCACUUUACUCAGGAGAUCAACAAAAUGUUUUUUAAUGACCCCAUCUGGAUAUUCACACAUAGCUUAUAGAGGCUGAAAAGAGGAAGAUGGAUAGGGCUCUACCUUCCCAUUGCUCGCAAGACCUUAGCGCAGGCCACGUGACCCCCAAGGCAUGCCUCAUGGAGAGAGGAGACGCGGUUAAUUGUCACAAGAUUCACGUUGAUCCCCUGCAGUUUGGAGAGAAGAUAGUGAAGUGCCGCAGCCAGCAGCAAAGCAAGAAUGGCGCCCACCGGGUUUCUGUUUUCAAAAAGCAGGAUAUCUGAUAUGUGACCCCCAUGAAAUAGUCAUUUGACCCUCGAGGGGCUUGCGACCCACAGGUCGAGAACCAGUGGUCUAGAUUGACUCCUAAGCGUGCAUGAGGAUAUUGACAUACAGAAAAGACAAAUCGUUUGUAAGACUCGAGGUUACCCAGCUGUUGGCGACGGCGCGACAACCAAGGCAGUCCUGAAUUAAUGCUUUUGUUGCAUUUACUCAAGUGGAGUAUACGCGGCUGAAGAACUGGCUCUGUGGUUAAAGCACUUGCUGCUCUUCGAGAGAACCAGAGUUCAGUUCCCAGAACCCAUGUCAGACUGCUCACAACUGCCUGAAACUCCAGCUUCAAGGCCUCCAGUACCUCCUUCUGGAUUGCAAGGACACUAAGACACAUGUGGCAUGUGUAUACACAUACACACACACACACACACACAAAUAAAAAGAAAUCUUAAAUAACAGUAGAUUAUAUGUUUGACUAGUGCAAAAAGCAAAGAAUUGAGUCUGUAGCAAACCAAGUGAAAUCCUCUGUAGUGCCCUUACUCACUUAUCACAUAAAUAAAAUAAAAAGUUUCAGAGUAGUGGCGAUAUCAUUGCCAGGCCUGCUGGUGCACCACUAUAACCCCAGCACUUGGGAGGGAGGUCGAGGCACGAAGAUUAUGAAUUUGAGGUCAGCCUCUACUAAUUUUGAGACCUGUCCAAACAACAUGAGACUCUGUCUCAAAGAGCAAAGAAACAACAAAAAGGGGAUAGAAUAAGAUGAUUGUUUAAAGUGCUUACAUAUAAGAAACAAGCUGGGUGGCAGCAGCGUACGCCUUUAAGCCCAACACUAGCAUUGGGGAGGUAGGGGCCAGCCUGGUCUACAGAGUGAAUUCUGGGAUAGCCAGGGCUAGACAGAGAAAUCCUGUCUCGGCAAAGCAAAAAUAAAUAAACAAACAGGAGCCCUCCAUGGUAGGUCAAUUGCUUAGCACAUGCAGGACCUGGAGGCCACUCUCAGAGCCUAAGAAGGCCCUGUGCGGGGAGGAAAGGCAGCGUAGAGAGCCGCCUAGUGUGUGGCGCCCUUGAGUUCAGUCAGAAACACAACUCGAGGGGAGACUAGAUUAGUGACAAGAUCAAAUACAA